AUGCACGCUGGCGGCGUGCCUCAUCCCUGCCAGUCGAGCGAACAGAUAAGGAGCUUGCUCCUUUGACGUUAGCGGCGGACGGGUGAGUAACACGUGGGUAACCUACCUAUAAGACUGGAAUAACUCCGGGAAACCGGGGCUAAUGCAGGAUAACAUGUUGAACCGCAUGGUUCUACAGUGAAAGGCGGCUUUGCUGUCACUUAUAGAUGGACCCGCGCCGUAUUAGCUAGUUGGUGAGGUAACGGCUCACCAAGGCAACGAUACGUAGCCGACCUGAGAGGGUGAUCGGCCACACUGGAACUGAGACACGGUCCAGACUCCUACGGGAGGCAGCAGUAGGGAAUCUUCCGCAAUGGGCGAAAGCCUGACGGAGCAACGCCGCGUGAGUGAUGAAGGUCUUCGGAUCGUAAAACUCUGUUAUUAGGGAAGAACAAAUGCGUAAGUAACUGUGCGCGUCUUGACGGUACCUAAUCAGAAAGCCACGGCUAACUACGUG
rnacentral:rRNA from 1 species